AUUGAACGCUGGCGGCAGGCCUAACACAUGCAAGUCGAGCGGCAGCACGGAGCUUGCUCGUGCAUUCAGGGGCGGAGGGGCGGGCGGUGCCUAGGAAUAUGCCUGGUAGUGGGGGCUAACGUGAGGACGCGGGCGAUCAUACCGCAUUAGCCCUGAGGGCGUACGUGGGAGAUCUUCGGACCUUACGAUCUCGGGUGAGCCGAGGUCGGAUUAGCUAGUUGGUGGGGUAAAGGCCUACCAAGGCGACGAUCCGUAACUGGUCUGAGAGGAUGAUCAGUCACACUGGAACUGAGACACGGUCCAGACUCCUACGGGAGGCAGCAGUGGGGAAUAUUGGACAAUGGGCGCAAGCCUGAUCCAGCCAUGCCGCGUGGGUGAAGAAGGUCUUCGGAUUGUAAAGCACUUUAAGUUGGGAAGAAGAGCAGUAAGUUAAUACCUCGCUGUUUUGACGGUACCAACAGAAUAAGCACCGGCUAACUUCGUG
rnacentral:rRNA from 1 species